rnacentral:lncRNA from 1 species
GGCGCAAGUGUCAACAUUAUGCCCAAGGUAAUUUAUGAGAAAAUAUUAAAUGAUUCUGUGUUGUACACAAAUAUGCGUUUGCAGCUUGUAGAUCAGUCCAUUUGCUACCCCGAGAGAGUACUAGAAGAGGUUAACAUUAGAGUGGGGCAAUCAUAUGUCCUAGUUGUUGACGGUCCUUAAGUACCAAAUAUAAUCAUCAAAUAAAUAAAGAAAAGGAUCCAAAUGCAACCAACACCCAGUCUUAGGGUUUUAUCUGACAGAAUUCCAUGAGUUUUGGUGUUUGUCUAUUUCUGCAGGGCGUUAUUAGGAAAUAUGGAGGAAAGGCCCAC